GACGAACGCUGGCGGCGUGCUUAACACAUGCAAGUCGAACGGCAAGGCCCUGCUUUUGUGGUGUGCUCGAGUGGCGAACGGGUGAGUAACACGUGAGUAACCUGCCCUUGACUUUGGGAUAACUUCAGGAAACUGGGGCUAAUACCGGAUAGGAGCUCCUGCUGCAUGGUGGGGGUUGGAACGUUUCGGCGGUUGGGGAUGGACUCGCGGCUUAUCAGCUUGUUGGUGGGGUAGUGGCUUACCAAGGCGUUGACGGGUAGCCGGCCUGAGAGGGUGACCGGCCACAUUGGGACUGAGAUACGGCCCAGACUCCUACGGGAGGCAGCAGUGGGGAAUAUUGCACAAUGGGCGGAAGCCUGAUGCAGCAACGCCGCGUGCGGGAUGACGGCCUUCGGGUUGUAAACCGCUUUCGCCUGUGACGAAGCGUGAGUGACGGUAAUGGGUAAAGAAGCACCGGCUAACUACGUG
rnacentral:rRNA from 1 species